rnacentral:rRNA from 1 species
GAUGAACGCUGGCGGCGUGCCUAAUACAUGCAAGUCGAGCGAAGCGGGGCCGGGUGAGUACCACGUGGAUAACCUCCUAUAAGACUGGGAUACCUUCGGGAACCCGGAGCUAAACCGGAUCCUUAUCUAUGGAUCCGCGCUGCAUUAGCUAGUUGGUAAGGUAACGGCUUACCAAGGCAACGCUGCAUAGCCGACCUGAGAGGGUGAUCGGCCACACUGGAACUGAGACACGGUCCAGACUCCUACGGGAGGCAGCAGUAGGGAAUCUUGCGCAAUGGGCGAAAGCCUGACGGAGCAACGCCGCGUGAGUGAUGAAGGUCUUCGGAUCGUAAAACUCUGUAAGUAGGGAAGCGGUACCUAAUGAGAAAGCCACGGCUAACUACGUGCCAGCAGCCGCGGUAAUUC